GACGAACGCUGGCGGCGUGCCUAAUACAUGCAAGUUGAGCGCUGAAGGUUGGUACUUGUACCAACUGGAUGAGCAGCGAACGGGCGAGUAACGCGUGGGGAAUCUGCCUUUGAGCGGGGGACAACAUUUGGAAACGAAUGCUAAUACCGCAUAAAAACUUUAAACACAAGUUUUAAGUUUGAAAGAUGCAAUUGCAUCACUCAAAGAUGAUCCCGCGUUGUAUUAGCUAGUUGGUGAGGUAAAGGCUCACCAAGGCGAUGAUACAUAGCCGACCUGAGAGGGUGAUCGGCCACAUUGGGACUGAGACACGGCCCAAACUCCUACGGGAGGCAGCAGUAGGGAAUCUUCGGCAAUGGACGAAAGUCUGACCGAGCAACGCCGCGUGAGUGAAGAAGGUUUUCGGAUCGUAAAACUCUGUUGGUAGAGAAGAACGUUGGUGAGAGUGGAAAGCUCAUCAAGUGACGGUAACUACACAGAAAGGGACGGCUAACUACGUG
rnacentral:rRNA from 1 species